rnacentral:rRNA from 1 species
ACCGCACAAGCGGUGGAUGAUGUGGUUUAAUUCGAUGCAACGCGAAAACCUUACCACCUUGACAUGUACGGAACCUUUAGAGAUAGAGGGUGCUCGAAAGAGAGCCGUAACACAGGUGCUGCAUGGCUGUCGUCAGCUCGUGUCGUGAGAUGUUGGGUUAAGUCCCGCAACGAGCGCAACCCUUGUCAUUAGUUGCUACAUUCAGUUGGGCACUCUAAUGAGACUGCCGGUGACAAGCCGGAGGAAGGUGGGGAUGACGUCAAGUCCUCAUGGCCCUUAUAGGUGGGGCUACACACGUCAUACAAUGGAUGGUACAAAGGGUCGCCAACCCGCGAGGGGGAGCCAAUCCCAUAAAGCCAUUCGUAGUCCGGAUCGCAGUCUGCAACUCGACUGCGUGAAGUCGGAAUCGCUAGUAAUCGUGGAUCAGAAUGUCACGGUGAAUACGUUCCCGGGUCUU